rnacentral:lncRNA from 1 species
AGAAACUCCACACAGGCCAAGGAAACAGAGCUACCAGCUGACUCACUCUCCCGGCAAACACCAGCUCCUCCCCGAGCCAGGCCCUGGAGGAGAAGUCGACAUCACGAGCUGCCAUCUGGGGGGUGGCACCAGGCUGUGAAGGAUCCACAGACUGGCAUAUGCAGGAGGAAAUGGGGCGGGCGAGGAGUAAGGACCCCAAAAAGCAGGGGCAGGGAAGGGCCCUCCCAGCGCCCCACUGUAACAGGGGUCUCAUCAAUGCCCCGUGCUCACUGAAUAAAGCACUGCCAGCGAAAGGUGAAAAGAGGAACAAAGAACACUCUCCUGGACGCCACCCACAGAAAGCCACGUGCAGGCUUGGCCCUCACCUUGGGGACCUUGGACACGGAGCUGGUUAUGUCACAUCUGGCUCUCAGAGCUGGGGCAGCGUCUAGGAGGCCUGAUGUAGAAGGCACUCGGCUAAGCCCUAGUUACCGGCACACGGGCACCAGCGCCCCCUCUCAGCAAACUCCACGUCUUAGGAAAUUAGGACUGGAUUUCCACUUCAUUUUGAAAAUAUGGCCAAGAUCCAUCCACGUGUGGCUGACUCAGAGCUGUGACAUUAAGGGAAAAUAAAGGAAAUGAUUGAGCUGCCUUUUCAGACAACACUGGAAUUUUUGAAGAACCCGAGAAUCAGUAUAUUGAAAGGUCUGCGCCAUGGAGUCGCUGCUUGUGAAGCCCGUGUGCAUCCGAAGUGCUGACAAGGACGAUGGAAAGACGCUUCAUUCAUGAGCUCCUUUAAAAUGCCAGACAGGCCCCUCGACAGGGAUGGGGAGAAUUCAGCAAAUGAAUAAGAUUGGCAACAUAAACCCAAACGUUUGGGGAAAAAACUGAUUUUAUUAUUUUUAUUUUACUUUAUUUUAUUUUUUGAGACAGGGUAUCGCUCUGUCACCCAGGCUAGAGUGCAGUGGCUUGAUCUUGGCUCAUUGCACCCCUGGCUUCCCAGGUUCAAGCGAUCCUCAUGCCUCAGCCUCCCAAGUAGCUAGGACUACAGACACACGCCAUGACACCUGGUUAAUUUUCGUAUUUUUUAUAAGACAGGGUUUCCCCAUGUUGGCCAGGCUGGUCUUGAACCCCUGGGCUCAAGCGGUCCGCCCUCCUCAGCCUCCCAAAGUGCUGGGAUUACAGGCGUGAGCCACUGUGCCUGGCAAAAAUGAGACUUUCAAUGUGCUACUUUAAUAAACUAAGUAUUAAUGUUGAAAACCCAAGGAGCAGCAAAGGUCCUCAAAGACACAGAGACCUGGGGGAGGGGUCUGCGGGUGGCUGCAAUGGGGGAGGGGAGAGGUGGAGGGGAGGAGGGGCCCUGGGGAGGCAGCACAAACUGGUUUGUAGAGUGACCCCUCCGUGGCUUCCUGGUGACCCUUCCAGAAUAAAUCCCAAGCCCGCAUCCUCCUACAUGCCUCAGCCUGGGGCUGCCACUCCCUGCCUCCCACCGUCCACUCCAAGAGCCUGGCUCCCCUGGGUGCCUGGGUCCCCCACUAGGGGUGUCAAAGCAGAAGGCUGGC